CCUACGGGAGGCAGCAGUGGGGAAUAUUGCACAAUGGGGGAAACCCUGAUGCAGCGACGCCGCGUGAGUGAAGAAGUAUUUCGGUACGUAAAGCUCUAUCAGCAGGGAAGAAAAUGACGGUACCUGACUAAGAAGCCCCGGCUAACUACGUGCCAGCAGCCGCGGUAAUACGUAGGGGGCAAGCGUUAUCCGGAUUUACUGGGUGUAAAGGGAGCGUAGACGGCAGCGCAAGUCUGGAGUGAAAUCCCAUGGCUUAACCAUGGAACUGCUUUGGAAACUGUGCAGCUAGAGUGCAGGAGAGGUAAGCGGAAUUCCUAGUGUAGCGGUGAAAUGCGUAGAGAUUAGGAGGAACACCAGUGGCGAAGGCGGCUUACUGGACUGUAACUGACGUUGAGGCUCGAAAGCGUGGGGAGCAAACAGGAUUAGAUACCCCGGUAGUC
rnacentral:rRNA from 1 species